rnacentral:rRNA from 1 species
GACGAACGCUGGCGGCGUGCUUAACACAUGCAAGUCGAGCGGAGCGGCGAACGGGUGAGUAACGCGAGAGUAACUGCCCCCCUCUCUGGGAUAACAGUUGGAAACGGCUGCUAAUACCGGAUAGUGUGGGAUGACUCGCGUCCUAUCAGCUUGUUGGUGGGGUAGUGGCCUACGAAGGAGACGACGGGUAGCCGGCCUGAGAGGGCGACCGGCGACCAGGGUCGGAGGUACGGCGCAAACGGCGACGGUAGGCAGCAGUGGGGAAUAUUGCACAAUGGGGGAAAACCUGAGGCAGCGACGCCGGGUGCGGGAUGACGUCCUUCGGGUUGUAAACCGGUUUCAGCCAUGACGCGGUAGUGGCAGAAGAAGCACCGGCUAACUACGUGCCAGCAGCCGCGGUAAUUC